CCUCCAAGUGUCCCCGUUUUCCAGGGACGUCCCCGAUUUAGAGAAGCCGCCCCGGUUUCUGAUAGGAUCCCGGAACGUCCCGCUUUAUGUCCCUAUUUUCAUUGCAGAAAUGUUGGAAGGUAUGGAGUUAUCCGACCCCCCAGACGACUGAUGGCAAUCAGUGUUUGUGUUUUUUUGUAAUGUUUUAUUAUGUUUUUAUGUAUGUUGGAAGCUGCACAGAGUGGCUGGGGCAACCCAGUAAGAUGUGGUGGUGGGGAUAAAUAGUAUAAUUAUCAUUAUGGAAUGGGAAGUCCCUAUUAUCAUUGGUGAAAUGUUGGAGGGUAUGUAAUUUCCUGUUUGGGAAAUUAGGAAACGACAGAAAGUCUAGAGUGAGCCUGGUUGAAUUCAAGGGGACUUGUUUCGCAGGUAGAUGCUAUUUGGAUCGCAAGCCUUUUAAUUAAGCUCAACAAUUCGGUUCCUGGGCAAUGAACCGACUUGAGUGCAUGGUGGUGGGGAAAGGCAUAUAAUUGCCUUCUGUCAUUUAUGAUCUAGUUGAGAUCCCUGGACUAGAUGACCCUUGAGAUCCCUUCCAAUUCUAUGAUAUGUGGUAUAUGUGUGUGCAUAUAUAUAGUCUGCUUCAGCACAUGCACAACUAAAAGACCGUAAUAAAUCCACUCCUUCGUGCAGCACGUUGCCCUAUGGGACUCGCUCCCACAGAAUAUAGUGAUGGCAGGGCUGGCCCAAGACAUCUUGGCACCUGAGUCAAACCACAAAAGUGUCCCUCUCCCACCCUGUGCCAGGGAAGAAGUGGGGAGUGAAGAUCUACAUCAGGACUAAGAUCUGCAUUCCUUGGAGGCUGAAUCUGCUGCCACAGUGAAUCCUGCUGCCCAAGGCAGUUCUCUUACCUUCCCUCAUGGGUGGGUUGACCGCCACCACCUUGCAUGGCUUUCAAAGUGGAUUAGGCAGAUUCAUGGUGAAUAAGGCUGCCCACUGACUUCUAACCAUUCUGGACGUGCUCUGCCCCCAGUCAUCGAGUGAGGUGAGCCGUAGGCAUGGUUGGUAGUGUCUGCUCCAAUAUUGUGGAAUUCCCUCCCAAGAGAUGUUAGACUGGAUCCCUCCUUGUUAUCCUUUUUAGACUGGUGAUGCUGACCACUGGUUCAAACAUAUUCAAACAUUUCCUGGCAGAUAGGAAGAUAUUUACCUGUCUAAUUUUUGCAGGCCACGCUAAGAUUAAAAUACCUGGCAGUAAUCAGUUUUUAAGAGUUACUAAAUGUAUUCCAGAAUAGCUCAAACACAGACACACAGAGAAGAGAUUCUCUCUUCAGAAAUGAACCUGGCCAGGGGCCAGAUCAAGGGAGGUGCAAUAGGCGGAAGAAAGGCUGACUCACAGUUCUCCUUCUCUUCCGUUAUAAAAACACACCCACUAUUUCACACAGAGAGAGGCUGGAUUCCCUCCAAGGUUACUCAAAAAUAUGUUGCCCUGUAUUAAAAGGUAGAUGUUUUAAGUGUGCAUGCAUAGGAUUGCAGCAUUAAUAUGCCAAACCUGCAUUAGCGCAGGUGAGUAGUCAGCACUGCAACAAAACAAAGAGAUAACAUUCUCUGGAAAGAACAAUCAAAUGAGUACCUGGUAUUGGGUCUGGCUUUAUUCGCAUUAUUGCAAAUCACUGGCUACGAUUCACCCAUGCCUAUAACGAAACAGCAGCCACCUCAUCAAAUUCAACUCAUGUAAUCAGCAACACAAAUGAAGUAUUUUCUCCAAUUCUGGCAGCAGUGCUCCUUCGUAAAGGUGCAAGGGAGCCUUUGGAACUACAGCCUUGUGGUUUGUGGAUACAGCUAGAAUUUCUUAAAAUGUGGACAUGACCACAGUUUCUGCGGUGUGGGACAAAAUAACUGCUGCAGUGGUACAUGGUGGGGAGGGCACAUAGUGAAUCACAAAAUACUGGGAGUAUCCCAAGAACAAGUGCACACACCUCCAUUGACCUGCAUGCAGGUGGUGGGAGAUUGUCUGCAAAAAUGGCUGCUGGAUGGGGACCUUCUGCAUCUGAUUUACAACUCCACUGAAAAAAAUGCAUUUGCUGCUGAACUGUGGUCUCUCCUCCCAAUUAGGUAUGCUCAAACCCAUCUUUUACAUGCCUAAGCAUUAACUGGAGCAUCAAUCAGUACUGCGUGCACUGACUAGCAGCAGCUUUGCAGGCUUUCGGACUAGAACCAGAGAUGGACCCCCUUUGAGCUAUGGCAGAAUUUGAUACCAGAUGGCAUACUUUACAGAGCAGAUCUCACCAAGGCCCUACUUCACUGUGCCCGCCAAUGACCAGACACUGUCAGAUCUUAUACCAACAAAUGAUCUAGAAG